CACGGAUCAGUUCUGUCCGGUCGCCCAGCUGUGAGAACAUGAGCCCGUACACUGUCCAUGCUGCUGGGUUAGCCCAGUACACCCACCUCCACCAUAUCGGGAUCAGCUGCAUCCACAUUGCCACAUUGUUGUUGUUCAUUAGGAAUUAAAUGAUGCCCAAUUUGACUAUGUUCUCUCUAGUUAGCGUUCUCAUUAAAGUGAAAAGGUUAGGGGGUUAAUUGACAGAGUGAGACUAGUACCUCUCUCCCAAUGAUGAAGCCGGAGAAGACGUUCCAAAAGAUGAAGAUAAGGAAGGACAAUCCGGCAGCUAUCUCAAGGCAAGCCAUGCACUGCGCCCUAAAGUUCUGCCAAUAUCCUGGGGGAAAAUGUAGAUCCACGGUGUUUGGCGCUGGUUGGCCCAGCUCUUCAAUUAGAAGCAUGUUCUCCCUGCAGAAACAAGGGAGGAGCUCCGGUAAAUUUCUGCAUAGUCCACUCCAGUCACAUAUUCUGUUAUGUGUGAACUUAUAUCCAACACCCAUGCUGCUGGGUUUUGUCCCUCUUUUAUUCUAGGAACACCAGCACGGGCAUCCAAGCCAGUGGUUGGCUCGUCCAUGAAUAUAAUGGAAGGACUAGCUACCAGCUCCACUGCUAUUGUUAGCCUUUUUCGCUGCUCAGCUGACAGGCCAGUUGCUCCUGCUAUUCCCACCAUGGCAUUCUUCAGUCCAGUCAAUUCAACUAGGUCCAUUACUUCAUCUAUAAACAUCUGAAACAUGUUUGUAGGGAAAUCUUGUUAGAUCUAUUGUUAUAUAUUAGCUUCAAAGAUGAUAAAGAUUGCAAAAGGUCAAUGCUUAUACAUCUCUUUGGCGAGAGUUAACGUUCGAAGGAAGUCGAAGCCAUGCUGAGAACUGUAGUGACUCAUGCACAGUGAGGUUAGGGGAGUGAAUGUCACUCUGUUCACAGUAGCCCGAGAUCCUUGAGAAUGUGUCCUGCUUCUUUGGGUAUCCUGCUAUCCUAAUAGUACCUUCAAUAUAUCCUCCAGUUUUUCUUCCAGCCAAAAUGUCGAGCAAUGUUGUCUUUCCAGCACCAGUGAUCCCCAUCAGAGCUGUUAACACCCCUGGCCUGAAAACACCGCUGACAUCUUGCAGCAGUUGAAGCUUUUUCUCUGUUACUCCAUACUUAAUCAUUUCCUGGUGGAAGAUAUGCAUACGUUUGGUCAAACGUGACUGGAAAUGAAAUGGAUGCAAGUAUUCAGUAAGGCACUAUGUGCUCAAGAUGUUACCUUAGGCAUGUCAACAAAAUAGUUGAUAUGAUCAAAUACAAGGGAAAGAGGCUGAAACGGGAGGGCAACUUGACCAGUUGAUGCAUUGCGAGUUCCAACUUUUUGUUUCUUACACUCCGUUUUUGUCUUCGUGGAAUCGAUAUUAACUUGAUGCUUGUGUGGAGCUACAAAUUAUGAACAAAUAUGAUGAUUUUGUUUGCAUUUAUGUUUCAAUACUUAUGAGGAUUUUGAUAGCUUUGGUAUACAUACAGUUCAUGAACUCUAGUGCAAAUAUAGUGAGGAUGUUGAGGACCAGCGAGAAUCCAAAUAAAAUGCCGACACAAAUCCAGUACCAAUGCCACUCUGUGAGCAACCCCCUGAUCUUGAGGAUAGCUUCACCAACUGUUUUAGCAUUUGCAUAGUAAAAUUCCUGUCAGCAUGAAAAAUCAUCAUCAGGUCAUAACUAAUUGCACGGGUUAUGUACAUUGGAUCAAGAAUGUUAGUUGAAACAAUUGCUUACAAUAGCCCAUCUUUCAUCAAGGAACUCAUUUAGGGCAACAGCAUUCUGUGCAUAGGUGAAUGGGGAUGUCCAGUAUCCCCACUGCAACCAUGGUUGGAGGUUAUCUGUUUCAAUGUACAAAACUGUUAAGCAUCUUCGUUGCACAAGUACUCAUACAUCUUACGUUAUUCUGAGCUAAAACAUCUAACCUUUUGAUAUGACAAAGCCUCCAAAUAUGUAGAUUGCUAUGAGAGCUGCAGUGCCUAGCAUGUUGGCCAUUACUUGCGUCCUUCCUAUUGCCGCUAAGAAACGAUAGAGGCCCAUUGACAUUUGAUGCAUGGCAAAAAGUACCAAAAACUGCUGGAUGAAUCUGCAAGAAGCAAGAGAUCGUCUUUCGCAGGUUGUGGGAGAUAGGAUGAACGAAAAGAUUCUGCAAAUUUUUCGAUUGACCGGUAAUCGUGGAUUACUUUGGCUGUGUUAGGGGCGUUCUCAGGCUCGCUCUACUGUGUAGGAAAUGCUGGCGCGUGCUGUUCAUCUCAUGAGAAAUCAACUAGCAAGGAACAAGACUGCAUUAAAGCCGUUGCCGUAGCUGCUGUCGUCUUCUACACCGAAUGCUACCUCAGGAAUGGCCACGCUACGCUCAUGAAAAUUGUAAAGACCAGGUACCAAAAUGGAAAAUUCCCCAGGCUAGAUCUGUGCUGUGAUGGUUGUGCUGUCCAGAAGACCCUGCCUACAGUCCAACGAUAUACUACUCCCUCAUAAUGUAAGAUAUUUUUUGACACUAUGAUACGGUACCAAUGACGGAGCUAAUGAAGGAUCUCAGGGGGGCAAAUAGAAAAUAUGCAACUUUGAGGGGGCCAAAUGAGUGCACUCUACUAAAUUUGAGCCUUCACGAAGAAAUUUCCUUCACUAAUUAGCAAUGGCCGGGGGGCAGCGGCACCCCAAGUAAUACAUGUAGCUCCCCUGUAUGUAUGGGACGGAGGGAGUAGCUCUGUUUAUGGUAGGCUUAGUUGGGGCCAACCUAUUUGUACCAACAUUUCUUUUAGCAACUAUAGUAUCUGUGUAAACAUAUGAUCAUGUUUUUUUUUCUUGAUGGACAUAACGCCAUGUUUAGUGUAUAUAUCAGUGUAUUACAACAAACUGAA